ACAACAUCUGGACCAUCGGUCUACCGAGCAAUAUCACCCGCUCGGUGGAAGAUCUUCCUUUCGUCGU
rnacentral:pre_miRNA from 1 species